GCGCCGUUGGUGUAGCGGUAACACACAACCUGUGAAUCGGUCCAUUGUUUGAAUUUAUCUGGUUGGGUCCCGGGUUCGAGCCCCGGAUGGCGCA